rnacentral:lncRNA from 1 species
AUUGCUAUAUUAAAUUUAUAAGUUAAAAAAUAUCCAAAUUUUAUGCUAAAAAAACCAAAUAAAUAAUUAAAAUAAUAGUCAAAUACCAUUACAUUCAUUACCAUUAAAAUAGUCAUUAGCAUACCAUUUAUACAUUCAAAUACUUAAAAUACCAUUACAAUACAAUGACAAAAGCUAAGAACCGGUCAAUAACAUAACAUUUAUUUAGUGUUCUAAAACAAAAACUAAGAAAUACUUUGUCGAUAACCGGACGAAUUGAUUUGUUUCAUAAAGGCCGCCAAUUGUCGUUGCACUUGCAAUCACAUUUCAUUUCACAUUUGUUACAUUUGCGAAUCCAUUUGACUUUGCUUUUCAUCAAUGGCUUGUUGCAUGUUUGACACUUUUUGUCGCAACUCAUUAACCUAAAAAUAGCAAGACAAACACAUAAAGUUAGUAAAUGUAAUUCAACUUUAAACCAUGAUAGCAAUGUACUUUACUUUUAAUAUGCAUAAUAAUAACAUACUAUAUUUUUACCCAUUAUACCAUUAUACUUUACAUCCUAGUGAAUCUCUUUGCAUACAUUCAUUCUCUAGUGAAUCUCUUUGCAUACAUUCAUUCUUUAUUUGAUGUCGUUUCAAUCUAUAUGCAACAUUUAACCUAUCAUUCUAAUUAAUUAAACCUUCACUACAAAUAAAAUUACCUUUAGUGGCAUAUUACUUAUUGUGCCAUUGUAUUGUGCUUUUAGUGGCACUUAUUUUUUUUUGUUCCUCUACAUCUUGAAAAUUUUGUUGCUGCUUCAAAUUUUUCUGUGGCGCUCAUCUUAAAUCGUUUUAAGUUUUAACUUGUCGAAAUUCAACAUAUUCUCCCAUAAAACAGAUUGUCAUUUUGUGUAAAUAUGUUCUCUAUGGUUUAUAAUAUUAUCUAAAAUUUCAAAACAUGAAAUCCAAAUGGGAAAGCUAUAGUGUAAAUAUGUCCUUUGGCUGUCUAAAAUAACAUCAAAUGUAGAAGAAAUAAAAUCUAAUACAAUAAAAGAAAGAAAGCACAUAAAGUUGCUCUGUUAGAAGAGCUACAUAAAACCAAAGGAUGAACAGUUUAGCAUAUACACAAUAUGCAACCAAAAUUUAAGAUAUAUACAACCACAAACAAUUUAUUUAACUUAGAAUGUACCAAAAGCAAGAUUUAGAGAUAAUGCCAUACGUAAACUACAGUUCUGAAAAAUUGGAGUCUUGUACAAGUGUGAGCAAACUGAAAUCGAAAUACAUACCUGAAGGUGUCGACGAUGAGGGUGUAGGACAGCGACGGUGGUGGUGGUUCGGGACAACGCUGGUGGUGGUGUGCGACAGCGACGGUUGGAGGGCAAACUUGCAACUGAUGGUAAUGGGAUAUCGGAGACAGAGCUCGGUACAAUAUCUAACCGUGGUAGAUGAGAUAUGAAGAAAUCGGAGAUGACGGCGGCCACAAGGCUUUCCAACAAGGCGGAGGUUUAAUUGUUGGCGGUGGCGGAUGUCGGAGACGGUGACUGUGGUAGUGGGAUAUCGGAGACGGAUAUCAGAGAUGGAGCUCAAUCGUUGGCGGUAGCGGCAAAAAGGCAUUCAAACAAAGCGGAUGUUCAAUCAAUCGGUGGCUGCAAGUUGGACCGGUGGUAGAUGUAUAUGUGAUGGCGAUGGCAGAGGAAGAUGAAGGAGAAGGAGGGGCGACGUGUGAGAGAUCAGGAAACUAAGAUAAAGGGGGAUUAACCUAAAAAAUUUCAUUGAAGCGGGAUAUUUAAUUUUUUCGUUCGGUUGGUAUUCCGUAGGAGAUUUCCUACGGAUUUCCUACUGAAUUUAAUAAAAUACUUUUUAUUUAUUUGUGUCC